GAGUUUGAUCCUGGYUCMKAACGAACGCUGGCGGCGUGCUUAACUCAUGCAAGUCGAACGUGAUCCGGAGCUUGCUCCGGUGAAAGUGGCGCACGGGUGAGUAACGCGUGGAUAAUCUGCCCUGGUAUCUGGGAUAACAUCUCGAAAGGGGUGCUAAUACCGGAUAAGCCUACGGACUCUUCGGAGUCUGCAGGAAAAGGUGGCCUCUAUUUAUAAGCUACCGUAUCAGGAUGAGUCCGCGUACCAUUAGCUAGUUGGUGGGGUAAUGGCCCACCAAGGCUACSAUGGUUAGCUGGUCUGAGAGGAUGAACAGCCACACAGGAACUGAGACACGGUCCAGACUCCUACGGGAGGCAGCAGUGGGGAAUUUUGCGCAAUGGGGGAGACCCUGACGCAGCAACGCCGCGUGAGUGAUGAAGGCUUUCGGGUCGUAAAGCUCUGUCAGAGGGGAAGAAAUGAGACUGGCUAAUAUCCAGUUUUCUUGACGGUACCCUCAAAGGAAGCACCGGCUAACUCCGUGCCAGCAGCCGCGGUAAUAC
rnacentral:rRNA from 1 species